CUGCGGAGGAUCAUUAUUGAAUAAACUUGAGCAAGCUGUUGCUGGCCCUCUUUGGGGGGUAUGUGCACGCUUGUCAUCUUUAUUUCUCCAACUUGUGCACAUUAUUGUAGACCUGGAAGUUUGAAUUUACUUUCGAGUUGGGACUGCGCAUCAGCUUUGCCUUACACCUAGGUCUAUGUCAUUUAUCACAAACCUUUGAAUUUGUUUAGAAUGUUGAAUCAGGUGCAUUUUUGUAACCUAUAAAAGUUGUACAACUUUCAGCAACGGAUCUCUUGGCUCUCGCAUCGAUGAAGAACGCAGCGAAAUGCGAUAAGUAAUGUGAAUUGCAGAAUUCAGUGAAUCAUUGAAUCUUUGAACGCAUCUUGCGCUCCUUGGUAUUCCGAGGAGCAUGCCUGUUUGAGUGUCAUUUAAAUUCUCAAACCACAUUUUGUGAUGUGGAUUUGGAUGUGGGGGAAUGUUUUGCAGGCGACCCUUGGAAGUCUGCUCCCCUGAAAUGCAUUAGUGGUAUCUGAGCCUUCAGGUGUGAUAAAUUUAUCUAUGCCUGCUUGCAUUGAACAGAUUGCACCGCUUCCAACAAACUUUUCUUUUUUAUAAAGACCUCAAAUCAGGUAGGACUACCCGCUGAACUUAAGCAUAUCAAUAA
rnacentral:sRNA from 1 species